rnacentral:rRNA from 1 species
AUUGAACGCUGGCGGCAUGCUUUACACAUGCAAGUCGAACGGCAGCGCGGGCUUCGGCCUGGCGGCGAGUGGCGAACGGGUGAGUAAUGCAUCGGAACGUGCCCAGUAGUGGGGGAUAGCCCGGCGAAAGCCGGAUUAAUACCGCAUACGACCUGAGGGUGAAAGCGGGGGACCGAAAGGCCUCGCGCCAUUGGAGCGGCCGAUGUCGGAUUGGCAAGUCGGUGGGGUAAAGGCUUACCAAGGCGGCGAUCCGUAGCUGGUCUGGAGGGACGACCAGCCACGCUGGGACUGUGACACGGCCCAGACACCUACGGGAGGCAGCAGUGGGGAAUGUUGGACAAUGGGGGCAACCCUGAUCCAACCAUGCCGCGUGCGUGAAGAAGGCCUUCGGGUUGUAAACCGCUGUUGUUCGAGAAGAAAUCCUCUAGGCUAAUACCCCGGGGGGAUGACGGUACCGGAAGAAUAAGCACCGGCUAACUACGUG